rnacentral:rRNA from 1 species
AGCGAACGCUGGCGGCAGGCCUAACACAUGCAAGUCGAACGAACUCUUCGGAGUUAGUGGCGGACGGGUGAGUAACACGUGGGAACGUGCCUUUUGGUUCGGAAUAACUCAGGGAAACUUGUGCUAAUACCGAAUGUGCCCUUCGGGGGAAAGAUUUAUCGCCAUUAGAGCGGCCCGCGUCUGAUUAGCUAGUUGGUGAGGUAACGGCUCACCAAGGCGACGAUCAGUAGCAGGUCUGAGAGGAUGACCAGCCACACUGGGACUGAGACACGGCCCAGACUCCCACGGGAGGCAGCAGUGGGGAAUCUUGCGCAAUGGGCGAAAGCCUGACGCAGCCAUGCCGCGUGAAUGAUGAAGGUCUUAGGAUUGUAAAAUUCUUUCACCGGGGACGAUAAUGACGGUACCCGGAGAAGAAGCCCCGGCUAACUUCGUG